AUGCAUUGGCAUGCCAAUCCCAAUGUUCAUGGAACCAAGAGCCCUAUAAGGAUAAUGGAUUUCCUAUCACCGAAACUCUACCCAAAUAAUAUUGCCAUAGCUAUUGAAGAUUCUUUGCUAGUUAAAGCACUCAAACAACAUGAAGCACAUUCCAGUAAGUUUUCAAAACCAGAAACUUCAACUUGGCAACAACGUGUGAACAAUUCUUUCAAAUCUGCGACACUAGUAAUUCAAGAACCCAAAAAGGCUGGGCAACAGGUCAUCUUUUCAGAUGGAAUAGAGAAUGAUUUCUACCAAACAUUGGUUGGACUACUUCCCAAAUUAACUGUCAGCCAAAGAAUAUUUGAGAUUGAAGGAGUUUGGGUGGAUCAGAAAACAAUAACUCUAUCAUUCAAGCCUGGUGGUUGGAUAAACCCUCGGGUUGUUGGCUGUUUUCCAAAACUAAAGAACAAAGACCAGCUGAACCGAGGAAGAAAAGGCCUCCUACCAAACAGUGAAAUAGUAGAGCACAUAGUUAGCAUUGACGACAUGGAGAAACUAAUGAACCCAAUGCUAAAUCAUUCAGAUCCUGCGAAUAAACUAAUCUUACAGGAAAGUAAUGUUGACUUCAGUUUAUUGAAUGCUUCCUUGGUAAAAAUGCCCGUAUUCAAGGAAAAACAAUGGAUUUUAAUCACUACUAACUUCAGAGCCAAAUUUUUUGAUAUCAUGAACACGUACUACAGUGGUGAUACAUUUCUACCAACAAUUAGUGCAGUUAUCUACAACUUCAAGGUCUUGUUUGCUGCUACAUAUGGAAAUUCUACUUCUUUCAACAUAGGUAAUUUUGAAUCAAGAUUUGUAGCAGCUCCCAAGGUCAAUUUCAGGUAUGACUCAGGAAUUUUCAUUCUGCAGUAUGUUAGCAAGUAUAAAGGUCUUGAAUUGCUGGGGUUCUCUAAUGAUGAUUUACAAGCUCUACGUCAAAAAUUCCUUUUUGAGAUUGUAACAUGCAAGGACAAUGAAAUUCAACUACCGUUAGUAACUUCUUUCCUGCAGCGACAUGGUCUCAUUAAUAUUGUCACCUUCAACGGAAGUGCACUGCAAGAUUCAACUCAAAGGAAUACUUCCAUGGGAAAAAAAUUCCUUACUGAUAGAGCUAUCUUUUUUUUCUCUUGCUGA
rnacentral:rRNA from 1 species